rnacentral:tRNA from 1 species
GCCCGGGUGGCUCAGUCGGUUGAGCAUCUGACUUCGGCUCAGGUCACGAUCUCGCGGUUCGUGGGUUCGAGCCCCGCGUCGGGCU